GCUUGCACUGUCAUGAAUAAAAAAUGCCUGUACCAUAACCGACACAGGUGGGUAAGUAGAGUAUACUAAGGGGCGCGAGAUAACUCUCUCUAAGGAACUCGGCAAAAUAACUCCGUAACUUCGGGAGAAGGAGUGCCUUAUUCUUAAGGUUGCAAUAACAAGAUCCAAGCAACUGUUUAUCAAAAACACAGGUCUCCGCUAAGUCGUAAGACGAUGUAUGGGGGCUGACGCCUGCCCAGUGCCAGAAGGUUAAAGAAGUCGGUUAGCAAUAGCAAAGCUGGUAACUGAAGCCCUGGUGAACGGCGGCCGUAACAAUAACGGUCCUAAGGUAGCGAAAUUCCUUGUCGGGUAAGUUCCGACCCGCACGAAAGGCGUAAUGAUUUGGAUGCUGUCUCGGAGAGGGGCUCGGUGAAAUAGACUUGUCUGUGAAGAUGCGGACUACCUGCACCAGGACAGAAAGACCCUAUGAAGCUUUACUGUAACUUGAAAUUGAAAUUGGACUUUAUUCGCGCAGUAUAGGUGGGAGGCGUUGAUUAUAAUCUUGUGGGAUUAUUGGAGCCAUCAGUGAGAUACCACUCUUGUAAUGUUAGAUUUCUAACUCUGAAUCAUUAUCUGGUCAAAGGACAGUUUCAGGCGGGCAGUUUGACUGGGGCGGUCGCCUCCUAAACGGUAACGGAGGCGUACAAAGGUUUCCUCUGAACGGUUAGAAAUCGUAUCUAGAGUGUAAAGGCAUAAGGAAGCUUGACUGUGAGACCUACAAGUCGAGCAGGGACGAAAGUCGGUCUUAGUGAUCUGACGGUACUGAGUGGAAAGGCCGUCACUCAACGGAUAAAAGUUACUCUAAGGAUAACAGGCUGAUCUCCCCCAAGAGUUUACAUCGACGGGGAGGUUUGGCACCUCGAUGUCGGCUCAUCGCAUCCUGGGGCGGUAGUACGUCCCAAGGGUUGGGCUGUUCGCCCAUGAAAGCGGUACGCGAGCUGGGUUCAGAACGUCGUGAGACAGUUCGGUCCAUAUCCGGUGUAGGCGCCAGAAUAUUGAGAGGAGCCUUCUUUAGUACGAGAGGACCGAGAAGGACAUACCUCUGGUGUACCAGUUAUCGUGCCAACGGUAAACGCUGGGUAGCUAUGUAUGGAGUGGAUAACCGCUGAAAGCAUCUAAGUGGGAAGCCCACCUCAAGAUAAGUAUUCUCAUCACGUAAGUGAGUAAGGUCACGGUAAGACUAACCGUUUGAUAGGCAUAAGUGUAAGUACAGUAAUGUAUGUGCUGAGAUGUCCUAAUAGACCGAGGAC
rnacentral:rRNA from 1 species